rnacentral:misc_RNA from 1 species
AUGGGAUGGAUCCCCAGGUAUGC